ensembl:miRNA
UGCUUCCCGAGGCCACAUGCUUCUUUAUAUCCCCAUAUGGAUUACAUGGCUAUGGAAUGUAAGGAAGUGUGUGGUUACGGCAAGAG